rnacentral:rRNA from 1 species
AGAGUUUGAUCCUGGCUCAGAUUGAACGCUGGCGGCAUGCCUAACACAUGCAAGUCGAACGGAAACGAUGGAGAGCUUGCUCUCCAGGCGUCGAGUGGCGGACGGGUGAGUAAUACAUAGGAAUCUGCCCAGUAGCGGGGGACAACCUGGUGAAAACCAGGCUAAUACCGCAUACGCCCUACGGGGGAAAGCAGGGGAUCUUCGGACCUUGCACUACUGGAUGAGCCUAUGUCAGAUUAGCUAGUUGGUGGGGUAACGGCCUACCAAGGCGACGAUCUGUAGCUGGUCUGAGAGGACGAUCAGCCACACUGGGACUGAGACACGGCCCAGACUCCUACGGGAGGCAGCAGUGGGGAAUAUUGCACAAUGGGGGAAACCCUGAUGCAGCAAUGCCGCGUGUGUGAAGAAGGCCUGCGGGUUGUAAAGCACUUUCAGUGGGGAGGAAACAGUCACGGGUUAAUAUCCCGAGGCCUUGACGUUACCCACAGAAGAAGCACCGGCUAACUCUGUGCCAGCAGCCCGCGGUAAUACAGAGGGUGCAAGCGUUAAUCGGAAUUACUGGGCGUAAAGCGCGCGUAGGCGGCUUGGUCAGUCGGAUGUGAAAGCCCCGGGCUCAACCUGGGAAUUGCA